rnacentral:sRNA from 1 species
CCUUGAGCAUGGACAGCCUGGAUCUGCUGGGUGAAGGGAGAAGUUAUGUCCAGGGUGGGACAGAGAGGAUGGCGAGAGAUUUCCUCACUGCUCAGAACAGUGGGAAAUUCAAAACUUAGGGAUUAUUUCUGAAAUUUUCCAUUUAAAAAUUUCCAUUUAUAAUUGACCAAGGGUAACUGAAACCAGAGAAAGCAAGACUGAGGAUAAGGGAGGGGCCUCCUGUACUCCAAGAGCACUGAAUCCGGAAAAACUCAACACAUUGAUGGAGUCAUAUAUUUAAUUUUUUCUUAAAAGCCACCUGCGGGAUAUUGUAGAAACACUGCGCUGCCAAUCACAGCUUGUGAUGUGACACAUUCAUUCUGCAAGUUUAAACUUCCCCUAGGCUGCAUCAUCCUCCAGCGUGUGUAAUCGUCCUCCUCAUACUAUUUAUCCAUUCAUUCAGCAGUGGACACCUGGGUUGCUUCUAGCUUUUGGCUAUUGUGAAUAAUUCUUCUGUGAACGUGGAUUUACAAAGCCCUGCUUUCAGUUAUUUUCGUUGUAUACUCAGAAGUGGGAUUGCUGUAUCCUAGGAUAAGACUAUUUUUGUUAUUUUGAGAAACUGCCGUACUGUUUUUCCAUAGUGGCUGCACCAUUUUGCAUUCUGGGAUGUGAUGUGGAACAGAAUUACCUUCAGAAUGAAGUUCAAAAACUCACUGGGAAUAAGUACAGAGAAAUGAUGCUGCAAGCUGAUGAAAUAAAUUUACUGUAGGAACAAAA